GGCCUUGUAGCUCAGUGGUUAGAGCACUGGUCUAGUAAACCAGGUGUCGUGAGUUCAAUUUUCACUGAGGCCU